rnacentral:lncRNA from 1 species
GUGCGACAAAGAAGAACAUCACAUAUAAUGACAAAGUGUAUAGAGAUAAAUGUCACAAGUAUCAUUAUUACAUAACGGAAGUCUGACAAAAAUAUAUGAUAACAAUAAAACAAACUAAUAUUAUUCCUUGGCGCCAUUAAGUUGACUGGGAGACGCCACCUAGAUCAACUCGUACUCCUCAUUAUAGGACUCCUCCUGGACCACCUGCUCUUCACCUGUGGGGGAUUUAUAUAUCGCAAGAGUGAGCUCACAAAAAAUCAUAUCUCAACAAGUUGUGGGGAAUAAUGUGCAUGAACUCACAAAAGGUGGGAGUUCAUGUGAAGUGUAAGACUGAUCAACAGAUAAUGGUUAAAGUUGAGCAUUGCUUUUAAUAAGUUGGUCAAAUUUUAUUAGUAGUUACUAAAUGUAAGUAAAUACUAAACCAGAGUAAUAAAUAGAUCAAAUUAAUAAUAAACCACAAUGCGAUGCAAAUGACAAACUAAAUUUAAUUCCAUAAAUUAAUCAUGUGAGGGUCCGAGCCGCUCAUGACCGUGAGCAUGGCUGAUAUACCAGUUUUACACUCUGCAGAGGUUGCGCAUCUAUACCAACAAGUCAUGUUACCCAUCUGCCAAGGGAUCGCGACUUCCCAUACACCUCUACCAAGGAAGCGAGGCAGGGUAACGCUACGAGGCCUUUACAAAGUUUCACUAGCUUCAGAAAACCUGCUACAGUUCUAUAAAGCUCCAAUGUAGGGAUCCCUCGCCCAACCGCCAUCGCAGCAAAAUCAACCCAAGGACCUCCCUACACUGAUCACUCCCCCCUUGCCCUUUUCGGGUAAGGCAGUACUCUACUAGCUUUCCUAAUUAGUCAGCCAAGGGCGUCCUAUACCACCUUUGUGGUAGCACUGUUUUCCCGGGUGGUCGCACCACGUUCCAAUUAACAUAAUGAUCUUAUCAUGAACAGUAAAUAAAAACUCAUCAUAAAAGCAUGAUCAUCAAUAAUGUGUAUCUCUAUACCUAAAACCACAUAAAGCAAUAGCAGGUACUACCCAAAAAUUCAGUGGCAAAAAAGGUAUAAGAUAGCCAAACUAGGGUAACCUAUUGGGUCCCAUCAAAAUUAACCUAUGCAGAUCAUUAUGAUUAAUAAGAACAUUAUUGGGUAAAUAAAAGUGAUCAAGGGCACAACUUGCCUUCAACGAGCUCCUGCUCAGCAGUCUCCACCUACUGAACACCCGGAUCUUUUGUGCCUUGCUCGUCUACUCGUAACAGUACAAACAAACAUGGUAUAGCAGAAAUUAACAUCACACUAAACAGUAGAACAUAAUGCAUGAUAAUAUUCUACGCGUCGUAACGAGAUCAUAGGAAUAAGAAUCACUAAAUUCGGAGCUACGAUUAUCGAGUUAUGAAUUUCCGAAGUUAUUAAGUGCUUGGUGUGGAAUAACUCAAGUGAAUAAUUUUAACCUAAGUUUCAUGGAUAAACAGAGUUACUAGGUGAUGAACAAUAUUAUUACAGAAUUAUUGCAAUUGGAAUGGAGUAAAAAGGAACUAAAAUGAAUUUUCUAUGAAUUAAAUGAGUUUAUGGAAUUACUUAUAUACUAAAAAUCAAUUUCUAUAAUCAUUUAUCCGAUUUCUUUGUUCUCUGGACUGCGCAUACGAUAACCAGAAAGUUUGGGGGCUAACUCGUGAAAUUCCCUAGACUCAGCUUACUCAGAGUUGGACCACGGGUUGAUUCAGAUAAUCUUCAAGGACUCUUUUAUAAAUGUACAGAGGCCAAGGGGGUACGCAGAGCUGUAGGCCGUUAGAUCUCCACGCAUCGGCCUGGAUUAGAUGUCCUUUAAAAAUGAACCGGUACGUUAUGUCGACCGUAGGAUCCGAGAUCCACGGUCUGGGUUUUAUUAACGUACGAUCUACUGCAUCCGUUAGAUCAACAAUGUACGGUCAAGAUCUUGCCAGCUGAAAGAAUACUAAAAGAACCUAAUCACGAUUGCCCAUCCAUCGAUCCUUGGCCAGGAUUCGCUGCUACGAAGAGGUAUCCCAGGUUUAAAUCAGAGCCGAUCAUCCCAAGGUCAACGGCUCCAGGUAUUUCCCCCAAUCCCUCCACUGAACACGGCGGCGGCACCGCGUUACCAUGGCAGAGAAGUCUGGCGAGCCCCCCCCCCCUCAUGGCGCUAUGGUGCUCCGAGUCACUAUGGACAGGUGUAUCACAUUCCUACAAACGCGGUGAAGGUGGUCGAGGGUCAUACCGAGGGGCUGGAGCGACGACGAGGACUGACCACGCGGUACAGCGGCUGCCGCAGUAGAGGAGCACCACGACGAGGAAUUGCUCGACUCCGGGGCAAGAUUCGCCAAAUUCGGUGGGAGCCGAAGCCUGUCCGCGCCCAACAGGCCCUCGGGUUUCAGCAUGGAAAGUCUAGUCACGACGCCGGCGAAGGACAGUAGCGACGGCGGGGUUUCACUCGCUUAGUUCCCUGUGAUGGCAGAGAGACGGGUACGUGCAACUUUUUGAGUCUCCAAGAGAGCUUUUGGGUCUGUUUGGUUGGGCUGUGGCUGUGAAAAAAGUUGUUGUGGGCUGUGAGCUGUGGAAAAAGCUGCUGUAGGCUGUAAGCUGUUAAAAUGCUAAAAAUCGUUUGGUGAAAACCACUAAAAGUCAU